UGGGGAAUCUUGCGCAAUGGGCGAAAGCCUGACGCAGCGACGCCGCGUGAGUGAUGAAGGCCUUCGGGUUGUAAAGCUCUGUGGGGAGAGACGAAUAAGCUGUGGCUAAUAUCCACGGUGAUGACGGUAUCUCCUUAGCAAGCACCGGCUAACUCUGUGCCAGCAGCCGCGGUAAGACAGAGGGUGCAAACGUUGUUCGGAAUUACUGGGCGUAAAGCGCAUGUAGGCGGUCUAGCAGGUCGGAUGUGAAAGCCCUCGGCUCAACCGAGGAAGUGCAUUCGAAACCGCAAGACUCGAGUCCCGGAGAGGGUAGUGGAAUUCUCGGUGUAGAGGUGAAAUUCGUAGAUAUCGAGAGGAACACCGGUGGCGAAAGCGGCUACCUGGACGAGGACUGACGCUGAGAUGCGAAAGCGUGGGGAGCAAACA
rnacentral:rRNA from 1 species